GACGAACGCUGGCGGCGUGCUUAACACAUGCAAGUCGAACGGAAAGGCCCUGCUUUUGUGGGGUGCUCGAGUGGCGAACGGGUGAGUAACACGUGAGUAACCUGCCCUUGACUUUGGGAUAACUUCAGGAAACUGGGGCUAAUACCGGAUAGGAGCUCCUGCUGCAUGGUGGGGGUUGGAAAGUUUCGGCGGUUGGGGAUGGACUCGCGGCUUAUCAGCUUGUUGGUGGGGUAGUGGCUUACCAAGGCUUUGACGGGUAGCCGGCCUGAGAGGGUGACCGGCCACAUUGGGACUGAGAUACGGCCCAGACGACUACGGGAGGCAGCAGUGGGGAAUAGUGCACAAUGGGCGGAAGCCUGAUGCAGCAACGCCGCGUGCGGGAAGACGGCCUUCGGGUUGUAAACCGCUUUCGCCUGUGACGAAGCGUGAGUGACGGUAAUGGGUAAAGAAGCACCGGCUAACUACGU
rnacentral:rRNA from 1 species